rnacentral:rRNA from 1 species
CAGUAGCCGCGGUAAUACGAAGGGGGCUAGCGUUGCUCGGAAUGACUGGGCGUAAAGCGCACGUAGGCGGCUUGGUAAGUUAGAGGUGAAAGCCCAGGGCUCAACCCUGGAAUUGCCUUUAAGACUGCCGAGCUAGUAGGUGAGAGAGGUAAGUGGAAUUCCGAGUGUAGAGGUGAAAUUCGUAGAUAUUCGGAAGAACACCAGUGGCGAAGGCGGCUUACUGGCUCAUUCUAGACGCUGAGGUGCGAAAGCGUGGGGAGCAAACAGGAUUAGAUACCCGAGUAGUCCCUGUCUCUUAUAC